GACGAACGCUGGCGGCGUGCCUAAUACAUGCAAGUAGGACGCAGUUGCGAACGGGUGAGUAACGCGUAGGUAACUACCUAUUAGAGGGGGAUGACUAUUGGAAACGAUAGCUAAUACCGCAUACUCGUAGAUGGACCUGCGUUGUAUUAGCUAGUAGGUUGGGUAAUGGCCUACCUAGGCAACGAUACAUAGCCGAGUUGGGAGGGAGGACUGCCACACUGGGACUGGGACACGGGCCCGACGCCUACGGGGGGGAGCAGUAGGGAAUCUUCGGAAAUGGGGGGAAACCUGACCGAGCAAAGGCGCGUGAGUGAAGAAGGGUUUCGGAUCGGAAAGCUCUGUUGUUAAGGAAGCGGUACUUAACCAGAAAGGGACGGCUAACUACGUGCCAGCAGCCGCGGUAAUAC
rnacentral:rRNA from 1 species